GUACUCAGUCCCUUCCACUGGGUGCCCAGGUUGCCAGUCCACGCUGUCUCAGACUGCUUUGGCUCAAGGCUGGAAAUAGAACUGGCAUCUUGACCUGUGCUUCAUCCUAUAAAGGGACAGAGAAGCAAGGGGUGGAGAGAUAGAGGCAGGAUUGUGCCAAGAGGGCCACAGGCCAAGUACAAGGGCGAGAGUGUGGAGUCCUGAGCGCUUCAAAGAGCCCUGUCUUCCAGGAAUACCCACUGCUUCAUGUGAGACCUGAGAAAAUGGAAAUCAGCCCGGAUAAGCAGACUGGAAUGUUCCCAACAGUCAUCAACAAGGUAUUACCAGAGCCUAGCAUUUCAUAAAACAAGGUGUAAGAACAGCUGGACAAAAUGAUUACUUCCUGUUAUGAAAUUCUGAGUCUAAAGAUGAGACAUUGCACCCCCCCAAACUGUCUUGUGUACCAGUUGAAGACAGCAUCUUAAGAAUGAAGAGGGUGAGGACUGUAUUGUUAAAUAUUUAAAAAAUAGGAAGUGUGGAUUAUUUUUAUAAGUUGUUCCUUGUCUAUCUGGUCCCUUCUGCUGCUAACAUUUUUGACUGAACAUUUGUACUAUGGGACCUCUUGGCCUGAUGAAGAUUUAAUAUGCUUCUCUCCUGCCAGGAACCUCCUUGGCCUUUCUCAGCCAGUGCACAGAUGUCUGGAGGCAGACCAGAUUGGUUCUAGGCAAAACAAAAGAUAUUGUCUCAGCUUUCUAUUUUUUUUUUAAGAUGGAAUCUCAUUUUGUUGCCCAGGCUUGAGUACAGUGGUGCGACCUCAGCUCGCUGCAACCUCCACCUCCGGGGUUCAAGCAAUUCUCAUGCCUCAGCCUCCAAGUAGCUGGGGUUACAGGCAUGUGUGACCACUCCCAGCUAUUUUUUUUUUUUUUUUUUUGUAUUUUUAGUAGAGACGGGUUUUCACCAUGUUGGUCAGGCUGAUCUUGAACUCCUGACUUCAGGUGAUCCACCCACCUGUGCCUCCUAAAGUGUUGGGAUUACUGGCAUGAGCCAUCACCCACGGCCUGUCUCAGCUUUCUUGAACUGUAGUGAUGGUAUAGGCAAUAGUGAUCCACAAAAGCAGAUUUGCAUCUUAGAAAGCUCCCUGCAGCAGGAGCAGUGGAGGAUGUCGGAAAGUGGUGGGUGAUGGGGCAGAGAACAGGUGAGAGGCUGGUGUGUCAGUUUAAGUCAGACACCGGAACUUAGGUGAUUUGCGGAGUGGAGGGAGAAUCUAUAGGAAUCAGUGGUUUAUUAGAUGAGAGAAUGGGGAGAGGCAGAUCAGCAUAGAGAGUGGUGGUCAGUGUAACUUGGGUUUCCUCUGACCUUACUGGCUUCUGCGUGCAAAUGGGCCUGAGUUACCAGUUACCCAAAUUUCACUGGCUCCUUCCUCUACCUUUUAUAGAAUACUCAGCUCCCUUCAAAGACUUUCCUAUCAAUUACUGGGAGUCCCCAGAAAUGCCUUGCACGUGCUCAGAAUUGCCCUUAUGGGCAUGCCCAUAGGGACAUUUGUUUCUGCUGAUGAAGACCCUUGUGAUUGAUGCCUCAUUGCUGCCACCUGCUGGGGACCACUGUAACAACACCAAAGUGUUUUUUCCAAUAUACAUACACUCUUUCUGCUUGUAUUGAAAUGAUUAUUUAUGUUUUCUCUCUGUCUCUCUCUCUCUCUCUCUCUUUUUUUUUUUUUUUUUUUUGAGACAGAGUCUCACCCUAUUAUUCAGUCACCCAGGCUGGAGUGCAGUGGCACGAUCUCAGCUCACUGCAACCUCUGCCUCCUGGGUUCAAGCGAUUCUCGUGCCUCGGCCUCUCGGGUAGCUGGAGUUACAGGUGAGCGUCACCAGGCCAGGCUAAUUUUUGUAUUUUUAGUAGACGCAGGAUUUUGCCAUGUUGACCAGGCUUGUCUUGAACUCCUGGCCUCAAGUGACCUUCCCACCUCAUCCUCCAAAGUACUGGGAUUACAAUCGUGAGUCACCAUGCCCAACCACAUUUUCUCCUAUUUUAUGUUAAUGUGGAUAACUAAAUCAGGUAAUUUUUUAUUGAGGUGAAAUUCUCAUAAAGUUAACCAUUUUUAAGUGAACAAUGCAGUGACAGUACAUUCACAAUGUUAUGCAUCCACCUCCGUUAUCUAGUUCCAAAACAUUUCUAUCACUCUAAAAGAAAACCCUGUACCCCUUAAGCAGUUACUACCUGUCCCUCUACCCCAAACCCUCGGCAACUGCCAGUCAGCUUUCUGUUUCGAUGGAUUUAUCUAUUCUGGAUAUUUCGUAUAAACGGAAUCACACAAUAUGUGGUCUUUUGUGUCUGGGUUUUAUUUAGCAGAAUGUUUUCAAGGUUCAUCCAUGUUGUAGCAUGUGUCAGUAUUUCAUUUCUUUUCAUGGCUGAAUAAUAUUACUUUGAAUAUGCAUAUAACAAUUUUAUUCAUUUAUCAGCUGAGAGACAUUUGGGUUGUUUCCAUCUUUUGGCUAUUGUGAAUAUUAUGAACAUAUGUGUACAUGUACUUAUUUGGUACCUAUUUUCAAUUCUCUUGAGAAUGCUCUGAAUUCCUGGGAGUGGAAUUGUUGGGUCACCUGGUAAUUCUAUGGCUAACUUUUUGAGGAAUUGCCAAACAGUUUUUCAUAGCAGAUGAACCAUUUUACAUUCUUAUAGCAGCAUACAAGGGCUCCAGUUUCUCCAUAUCCUUACCAACACUUCUUAUUUUCUGUUUUUGCUUUUGUCUUCCAAAUUACUCUGGCCAUCCUUGUGGGUCUCAUGAACACUAAAGUUUUAUGAGAUGCCUGCAAACUGAAACCCUUGGGACACAUUAAGUAGUGCUAGGUGUCCCAGUAUUCUCACUGAGUCAAAGCCCUCCUAUAUUCUCAAGACCACCAUGCUCAUUCUGGGUCACACUCUUGACACCUGGACAAUAAGUUUCAACAUGGAGUUCUCUCUUCACGAAGCUCAAAUGGGAGUUCAUGGUACCAUGUCAAGGACUCAAUAUCUGAAGUAGAUCCCAGGCUUUCCUUCCUGGUUUGUUCUUUCCAACCUUAUCUUUCAUUCUCCUAGCUAAAACCUCUUGAUAUAUCACCAUCUCUUUAGGUACAGUGGGACAUGAUUGCCUCCAAACUUAGCUGCUUAGCUUCAGCCAGGGAUCUCUACUAUGCAGGGGUUUUUUGUUUUUUUUUUUUUGAGACAGGACCUUGCUCUGUCACUCAGUGGUGCCAUCAUGGCUCACUGCAGCACUGCCUUCCCAGGCUCAAGUGAUCCUCCCACUGUGGCCUCCAAGUUACUGGGACCACAGGCACAUACCACCAUGCCCAACUACUUUAUUUAUAUAUAUACUUUUUAAUAUAUGCAUAUAUAAUCCUUUUUUUUGGAGAUAUAUCAUUUUGCCAUGUCACCCAGGCUAUGAUGGAGGUCCCUGUUAGGAUGGAGAAUGGAGCAAAUCACACAGAUGUUACAGAAAAAUAGACACAGAGGACUAGAAACUUUGGUCCCUUUUACUGUAAGGAAAAUCCUGUGUGACAUCAAAGAGGGCAUGUCUAGGAGGUAUUUGAUAUCUGUAGCUGGGGCUAAGGGUAGAUAUGUGGGUUUGAGAGAGAGAUCCAGGAGUCACUGGGGAAGAUGUAGUAGCUGAAGCUGUGAGAGGAGGCAGGCUGUAAUGGAAAAUGUGUCAGUUGGUGAAGAACUGAAAUGAAAUGUCCUGGUUUGACGUUUUGAGUAUUCCUUUAAUUUUAGGAACACUAUCAGAAAAGAGGCUAGCUUGUGAGCUGAGUCGGUUUGCUUUCCAAAAACAUGACUGAAUGUUUUCACUACUGCAUAUCUAAAGGGGGUGCAGACUGGGCUUUUCACUAUUUCUCUGGGGUUAGAAAUGUCCUUUGGUGGGUUUCUAAGUUUUCAUGGAAGGCCAGUUCCAGAGACUAUUUACAAGCUGUUAGGAAAAACAUCAAGCAGACAAGACAUAUUUCAAAAUAUUUAAAGUGGUCUAUUCCUAGGCUCUCAACUCUUCUCUCUCCACUUCCUCUCCAUGGAUCUGUUUUCACACAUGGGAGCUUAAGUCAGCCUCUAUCUGUAGGUGACCGUUGUCUGACCUUAUACUCUGGAAUGCUCUAUAUGCCUCUGACUUUCAUCCCAGGAAACAUCAACACCCACUUCCGCUGGCAUUCCUGAUGGGAGCCAACUCUUCCUCCUGAGCAGUUGGAAGAGUCCUGCUUCAGUGACUCCCAGGGAAUGUUGACAGAGUCACUUUUUAAGAAAGAGAUUUAUCCCACACCAAAACAGAAAUCACUCAUUUUGCAUCAUUUUAUGCCUUGUCUAUUUUCAAGGUAGGGUGUUUCAUUUUGUUUUGUUUUUCCCCUGUUCUUCCAAUCCAUGAACAUAGUAUAGAUUCUUAAGUCCUUUUGAAGUGUAAAAUUUCCCACAGCCACAUAGCUCAAUUUUUUCUACUUCCAGGAUUUAAAAAAAAAUUACAUUAGCCUUGUAUUUCCUCCAAAACUGUUAUUAAAACUGAAAUUAUCUUGUUGAUUUCUUGGUUUACCUGUUUACCAUCUCCUCCAUCUAAAAGGUAAGUUCCAUGAGGAUGGGGUCUCAUGUGUCUUCUCCUAGCACCUAGAAUAAUGCCUGACCAUGUACAGAUGCUCAUGAAAUAUUUGUUGGGUGACUGGCUUACAGAAUCAGUUGCUGAAAUGUCAUACAAAACUUUCCAUCAUGAAUGUCCUUUUUUUUUUUUGGCCUCUCUUGAGUAAGAAUGUUGUCCUGAUUUAACUAGCAUUAUUGACAAAUACCAACUAACUGUAUUAAUGGCUCUCAAGUUUAUUUACACUCUUAAAAGUAAUUGAGGACCCCAAAGAGCUUGUUUGUAUGGAUUAUACCUAUCAUUACUUAGUGAAAUAGAAAUUAAAACUGAGAAUUUAAAAUAUUUAUUAAUGCAUUAAAUAAAUAACAAACCCAUUACAUGUUAACAUUAAUAUUAUUUUUUAUUCCCCCAGACAAACAAAAAACAGGGAGAACUGAGGCAUCGUUUUACAUUUUUGCAUAUCUCUUUAAUGUCUGGUUUAAUAGAAGACAGCUGAAUUCUCAUAUCUGUUUCUGUAUUCAGUGUGUCAUGAUAUCACAACCUCACGUAGCCUUUGAAAAGCCCCACUGUGCACUUGUGAAAGAAUGCGAGUAAGAAAGGCAAAUAACAUCUUAGAUUAUUUUGCAAAUAGUUUUGACUUUGCACAGAUACACCAGGAGAUUCUUGGGUAGCCCCAGGAAUCACUGAAGCACAUUGAGAACCAAAGAUUGAUAUUAGCGGAGAGGAAUAUUUUUCUUGGUCUUUGAACUACAUUAUCAUUAAACACUGUACUUUUCUCUUUAAUAUCCUUUGCUUAGCUUGAUAUUAAAAUCCUUUUGCAUUCCUCAGGAUUGACAAAGGUGGACAAGGUGCAUAGUGAGGAAGGGCUGAUAGAAAAACAAACCAAAGAUUAAUAAUUUGUUGCUUUUAUACAAACACAUACAUAUAUAAACAAAAACAACAAUAAAA